GAAAUACCUCCUCCGUCAUCGCCCUCAACAUCUCAAGGGCCAGAACCUUUGCGGGCUAAAUCUGAGAAACUGCGCAAUGGCUACCCGUCGAGUGUCCAAACGAAAACGGAAGAAACAGGUUCGACGGAGGUGCAGUACGGUCCUUCUCCCAGCCUCAACGCCAGCAGUUUUUCAAGCGAGAAUUAUUUUCCUCCAACAAAUUCGAACACAGAACCAGGAGCCGAUGGCAAGCUUUCUGCUGCUACAAGAUGUACCUCCAAGUGUUCAUACUUUGAAAUAUUUUUCAUUUUAGGCCUAUGGUUUGGGCUGUUUAAGCUUUCGUGAUCACGUGCAAUUGAAACAUGGAUUGAAAUCGAUAAGGAGACUCGAUGCCGAAACAUACAAUCGAUACAGAAGAACUCCAUCGAUGAACUAAUGAUAAUAUGUAUCGUAAGCCAAAUUUCGGACAUUUUUCUGCUUCACUUUAUUCCAGAUAAUCAAUGCGAAGUGGUGCAUGAAUAUGUGAACAAAAAACAGUGUCUAUGUAAGUGCGCAAUGAUCAUUACUGUCGCAUCAGAUGACAUGUGAGGUGGAAAAAUACUUCACUUUCCUUUAUGAUCCAAUUUGUAGCCAAUUGAAUUAUUAACUACGUAUUACCUUCUAAACAUAUCUUGAGAAAUUAACUUACUUGAAGGAAUUCAUUUCUCUUUCAUGGAUAUUUUACUUACCAGCAUAUAGUUUUCUUUUCUACCACUAGCAGUAAUUUAAUUUAGGAACGGUUCAGAGGUACUGUCGAUGAAAUGAGAUGAGGAAAUAUAUUUUUAUCAGAUAUAAAUUGAUAUGUUCGGGCCCUUUUCGGCCAUUUCAAGACGAGAAAGAAGCAUUUUCUGAAAUUAAUAUAUUUUGGAAGUGAUUUAUCUUAAACAUAUACUUUAAUUUAUGAAUUAACAUUGAGGAAAGUUAUAGCUUAAAAUGACAUAUAUAUAUUAAAUUUAACAUGUAAAAAUCUUUUGAAUUUUUAGGUAAAAUGUUUAUUGUUACUAAUUUUUAAUAUCUUAUCAAAAAGUUUCUAAAAAACUUUUUCUUGCAAUACUAUGAAAUUAAAUACUAUAAACGUAAAUGUUCCUUUUUGUCUUAGAGAUUUUUUAAAUAUAAAUAAAAAAACAAGGAAAUUUAUUGUUUUACAUAGAAUUUUAUAAUAAAGGAAAAUACUUUUUUUGGCGAAGGGCGCUUAAUUUUAGUUUUUACAUCAGAUAAUUGAAAUAUAUUUUGUCCUUAAUAUUAAUUCCAUUUAACUAUUUUUAUAAAUAAAGAAUUCAUUAGGUUCUAAUACUGGAUAUUUUAUUUUAUAGACUUCAGUCAAUAUAUAGCUAAUAUCUUCUAAGUAAGGAUAGGCAUCAAAUUAUUUUACCUAAAUACAAAAUGUUUCUGAAAAGAGAAGAAUGUUUUAGAGACUUGUUUCACAGGUUGUUUGAAAUGAUAUGCACAGUGAAUAGAAGAAAAAGAGAGGAAAUCCUGAACAUUGUUGUGAGUUUUAUGCUGAUAAGGUACUAACGAUAGUAAUCACAUGAGGAUAAAUGUUAGUGAAAGCGUAUAUAUUCAAGUGAAAUGUAGAUCGUAGGAAAAUAUAUUUAUCAUGUUUUAAAUGUAGUAAAAUAUCUAGAAGUCUUUUACUCUUGAAAAAGUACUUCUGAAGCCAGAGCAUGGAUCAACUCUAUGUUUACUUUAAAACCUUUGAACCGUUUCUCUUCCUCUUUUAAUUUUCACGAAUGGCUUUUCUGGCUCAUUCGUACCUCGCAUUCAUUGGUGCUUCAUCUUACAGGGUCAUAAAUGUCGAGGGAAAAUAAGAAUAUCAUCGCAUAAAUAUCCUGCAUAAAUUAUUGUAUAUAUUUAGUUAAAUUAGAACAAGAUAUUUUAAUUUAUGCUGUUUACACAGUUCGCUUUUUACGCAGCCAUUUUUCGUUUACCUUUAUUGUGAUAAAAAACUUAAGGUAGAUUUAAGUAUGAUGCCACUCAACUUCUUAAACCGCAUGUUCAAGGCUAUAAAAAUUUUCCCAACUUUUUCUGUAGAAUCAAAUUUUAAGGCCAAAUAUUAAUAUAUUUUGUCCAAAAACAGCUCGAAAAUUAAAUUUUGAAUCUUGCAAUUUUCUUUCUCAUCUUUCCUCUUCCAAUAUAAGCUAAUGAUAUUGUUUCCUGAUAGGAAACAUCAAUUUACAUUUCAUGCAGCAUCUGAAAAGAAAUAUAAUACUCUAUCAAAAUUGUGUAACAGAUUUCACUAAUAAUUAAUAUUAAACGACGUAUCAUGAAAGCAAUGAGCUUAUAAUAAUCAUUAUACAGUUGGAAACUUAUUGAUAUAACUUUUUGUGGCUCUGCAAAUACUCAAAUUAUAAGCAAACAACUUUACUGAUCACUCAUAAUACCAGAGAGCAAAUUUAAUUUUCACGUGUAUAACUGAUUUUAUAAAAAAAAACUUAUUUUAUAAAAUUAAAUUUAAAAUAAGGUGUUGUGAUACAAAAUAAUUUCUUUUAAAUUUUCCUCAAAGCAGUAUUAUAUGAGUCUUUUCAUUUCAAAUCGUUCGCAGCAUACGCAAAGCAAAUUGAAUAUCAUGUGGAAGUUGUUUAUUUUAAAAUUGAAGUACAUAUAAAAGAGAUAUUUUUUGAAAAGUUUCACUAUGAAAGUUAUAUUUAUAAAAAAAAAAGCUUUGCACAAAAUUUCUUGAGCCUAUUUUAUUUCGUAGAAAUGUUUGUAUCUAAAUAAAACUCUUUCUUAAAAAGUAUACAAAAAUGAAUUGAUUCAAUAAUUUUAAGAGGAGAAAAGUAAGAAUAAACAUUUUUAUUUAAAUUUCAUUCUCUUUCUAAUAAAUAGUUUAGGAAAUUAUAUUUUCUAUUUUAAUAGUUUACGCGCUAAUGUCUUAAGUUACAAAUAUUUAUAAAAAAAUGCUUGAAUCAAUUAUUUUCGGAUUUUAUAUAACAAAACAUUUUCCCAAUUAAUUGCAUGAAAAUAUCUCUAAUAGUCUGAUUUAAAUAAAAAUAUUGUAAUAUAUGUUUUUCAGUAUUACUGAAGGCUUGUCAGUGCUUUUAUUUCUUAAUAUGAUAGAAAUGAGUAAAUUAAAAAUAAUUACAAAAUAAUUAUUAAUGAAUUACAUAUAAUAUUAUUCUAAGUGUUCUGUAUACGAAUGCUGUAAGUGGAUUCUUUAGAGAAAGAAAAUACAUGGACUACUUAAGAAUUUUAAACUGAAGUAGAUAAAUUAUCUUAUGCGUGUGUUGAUUUAGUGGCAUACAAACGUUUGCACCAUAUACGUUUGGAAUAUUCAUGUAGGAAAAUGUUUUUAAUUAUGACAUUUUUCUAAAUCAGUUUUUAAAGAUUUUAUAUAUCCAGAUUUUAUAAUCAAUUCAAACACAACACUAAAUUUCAUUUCAAAACAAUGUCCUUUUAGUUACGAAAAAUUACCUAACAUACCACAAACUAUCAUUUAUCAAAUAACGGUUAACAAGUUGGUCCCGAACAUGAUAUUCAGUAAUUGACUAAUUUUCCACUGAAAUCUUUAUUCAUUAUUUACUGUUCUCAAAAAAUGUCUAACAAAAAUCUGUUGCUUACUCAUUUUUUUUAAAAAUAUUGGAAGUUUCAAAGACUUUUUUAAAAAUUUCAUUUCUUUUUUGUAACAUGCUAAUCAACUGUAUAAAAGCUAUAUAUGGCGUUCUGUUAAUAAAGACUAUGAAUAAGGAAAAAAUAAUAAUGAUUGUGAAAACUGUAAUAUGAGUGAAUUAUAUACUAAUUCAUUUAUAUCAUUAAAUGUCGUUGUAAUGCUAAAUACUAUAUUUUAUAGUUAUAUUUAUUAUUAUUGUUAUUUAACGGUAUUCUUACAACAAUAAAGCAUGAUUAAUUCGAAAAGAAUUCUAGAAAAUGGGAUUUUUAAAAUUUUCUUAAUUCUAAUUAAAUAUUGUUGAGGUUACAUUAAAUAUUUCACCCCUGUUAAAAUGGUGUCCAGCAGUUUAUGCAAAACAGGAUGCAAAACUGAAAUUUUAUUGUAAAUUCAAUAUUUGUUCUAGAAUUAAAAUCAUUGCGAAGGUUUUAUCUCAUACUUUAUUUACAUUUUUGUGAAGUUCAUAUUCAAAUUCAAUAAGCAGAUUUCUACUCUUACAUGCAAGGAUGUAAUUUGAAUGCAGUUUUUAGAUCGGACGUUUAUGAAUGAUUUUCUGUUGUUGUCUAUUACUACUUAAUAUCAAUGCAAUUUUCUUCAGAUCAGUAUUUUAUUAUUUUACUCCAGAACAACAUAAGUUAUAUAUAUAUAUAUAUAUGAUCAUGCAUAGCUCUGAAAUGCAAAUACAAUAUGACGAGCACAACCUUUUUAUUUGUUUUUGAAGAUAACAACAUACAUUAUGAAUUUUGAAAGAGAAAUCGGAAUUGUUUUAAUUUACGUACGUACCAUACUCAUCUUAUGACAGGCUUUAAACUGAUUGCAUGUGACAUUCCAGGAAUAUGUGGAAUAAGAUAGGAAUCUAGUUGUAUCCUUUUUCUGAGCUUUUCUUUGAGAUCAAAAAACUUUACUCUGGAUGGAUGUAAAUUUAACGAUAUUUUAUCUACCUGUAUAUAUAUUUGUUAAGUAUUUAUCAAAAGUAUGUUUUUAUUAAAGCAUUCAUUUUCAAAGAAUUUAUAAGUGAGAAUAAUUUUAACCGUAUCGUAAAAUGAAAUUCUUAAUGAACAUAAGAAAAAUCGAAAUUUGUUCUUUUCAUAAUCUAUAUAGAUAAAUAUAAUAAUUAGAAAGCGUUGCUCUGUUAGAAAUUUCAAUAAUGUUUGCCAGCUCAGUUUCAAGGGACUAUUCACAGUCCUAAACAGAAUAUCUCGAAAGAGAAAGUAAACGAAAAAUAUGCUUAAAGAUGAUUAAAAAUACAGCAAAUAAAAACAGUUAUUUUUUAAAUUUCUUAAUUUUUCUUAUUUAGAAAUAUAAAGAAGAUAUGCAAAUAAGAGAAACUUAAUACUGCAUAUCAUAAUAAACAUUUAAUUGCUGUUUUUCAAAUGCAGUGUAAUGAAAAAUACAAUUGCUGUUUUUCAAGUGAAGUAUGAACCAUUAGCAUUUUUGCGAAAUCGUAACUAAUAUUUUAUUCAGAUUUGGAAAAUUAAGUUACAUAUUAAUACGCAAACAGCGGGUAAAAUUAAACUGUUGCGUAAUAUGAAUAUAUAAAAAUAAAAAAUACUAUGAAUGAAAUGAAAAAAAAUAAAAGGCAUGCAGCUGUAAAAAAUAAAUGUUGUUAACAUUAAUUCUUUUUUGCCGUCGAGAAAAACAUUUUUCUCUAACGCUUUUCUUUAAUGAUUAAGAGAAAGAUUUAAAGUUUUAUAUUUAUAUGUAUUUAUUAUUUAAUGUUAUGAAAUUACUAUUCCAUGAAACCUAAUACUCAAGUGCUACUAACACAAGUCUGUAAGAUUGUAACAAAUUAUUUUAAAAAGAAGAAAAUCCUCUGUCAUGUGUCAAUGCGAUUUUUCUACAAGUCAAUUACAUAUUCAUGUUUUGGUACAUUCCAAUGACUGAGUGACAAAAUAAAUUAGAUAUCAAGAGCAUUACGUCUUAAUUUGAAAAAAAAAAUGGAAUUCAUCAGCAGAUAAUCUUCUGAAUAUCAUAUGCUGUCUGAUUUUUUUUUACAUUUGUUUGAAGCUGAAAGACAUAAUUAUAAAUACUUAUGUAUUAUAUGGCAAUGUAAUGUUGCUAAUGUUUGCUAAUUAUGAAUAAAAUAUUCAACUAUCCA
rnacentral:lncRNA from 1 species